rnacentral:rRNA from 1 species
AACCUGGUUGAUCCUGCCAGUAGUCAUAUGCUUGUCUCAAAGACUAAGCCAUGCAUGUCUAAGUAUAAGUAUUAUACAGCGAAACUGCGAAUGGCUCAUUAAAACAGUUACAAUUUAUUUGAUAAUCGAAUUUACAUGGAUAACCGUGGUAAUUCUAGAAGCUAAUACAUGCUGGUAGGCCCGACUUUUUGGAAGGGCGGUAUUUAUUAGAUAACAAACCAAUAUUCCUCUGGUCUAUUGUGGUGAAUCAUAAUAACUGAUCGAAUCGCAAGGUUUUUAACCGCGAUAAGUCAUUCAAGUUUCUGCCCCAUCAGCUUUCGAUGGUAGUGUAUUGGACUACCAUGGCUUUUACGGGUAACGGAGGAUUAGGGUUCGAUUCCGGAGAGGGAGCCUGAGAAACGGCUACCACAUCUAAGGAAGCAGCAGGCGCGUAAAUUACCCAAUCCUGACUCAGGGAGGUAGUGACAAGAAAUAACGGACCGAGGCCUUCGGGCUUCGGGAUUGCAAUGAGCCGAAUUUACACCCCUUAGCGAAGAUCGAU